UCCCCAGUGGCUCAGUGGUAAAGAAUCUGCCCACCAAACUGGAGACCCAGGUUCCAUUCCUGGCUUGGGAA
rnacentral:tRNA from 1 species